rnacentral:siRNA from 1 species
CUCAGCCUGCUAACUAGCUAC